UGAGAAUCGUUUUCAUCUCCCUUCGCACCUGGAGGAGCGGUAAUUGAUAGAGGCAUUGAAAGGGAUUACUUCGGUAGUCAGUUUCUAUCAAGAAUAGUGGUAAAUCGAAAGAUUUAUGCAAUACGCUGAACCAUUUCGCGGAGAUUCGUCCCGGACAGUGCUCCCAUUUCAUUGAGCGCUAGAUGGGAUAACUUAUUAACUUAUUUCACCUUUUUGCUAGUUGACUUUUAUAUGUUGUUCUUUGCGCUUGCGUAAGGUUCACACGUUUAAUUAUUUGAACGUUAAAAAUACAACUCUUAGCAAUGGAUAUCUUGGUUCUCGCAACGAUGAAGAACGCAGCGAAAUGCGAUACGUAAUGCGAAUUGCAGAAUUCAGUGAAUCAUCAAAUCUUUGAACGCAAAUUGCGCUUCUGGGUAGCCCUAGGAGCACGCCUCUCUCAGUAUCGGUUCAACCCUCUCUCAGCAGCGUGUUUAUAUUUAAGUUUCGGCUUAUUUGUUUAUGCGUGUUGGCUGGAUAAUGAGAGUCUGUAUGCUUGCGUGCAGUCUCUUUAAGUACAUGGAGUAAAACAAUCAACUUUCGAUCAGUGCCUGCUUUUCGCGGCUAGCUUAUUGCUGACUGUUGUUCGAUA
rnacentral:rRNA from 1 species